CUGCCUUCCUUUCGGACUUUGCUCCGCCCCUUGGUGUUUCACCAAGUUAAUGAAGCCGGUCAUGGCACUACUCCGCUCUCGGGGAAUACGUUCGAUCAUAUAUCUGGACGAUAUUCUGAUCAUGGCCCAAGACCAACAUUUGCUUCGCAAACAUACGCACAUGACCUCUGCUCUCCUUCAAAACCUUCUGGAACCAUCUCAGGUAGUCCAGUUUCUGGGCUUUCAAAUAGACUCAGUCCAGGCAACUUUGCAGCUGCCUUACCCCAAAAUAAAAAACAUAAAGAAAG